GUGCAGGUAGUUAAGGGAAGAAGCAGCGUGGGAGCAUGGCAUACUUAAGACCUGAAACCUGUCUAGCGUGACAGGAGAAAAGAGAACUGUGGUUGCAUAGUGUAGACACACAGCUGGUGUCCACCACAGAGCAUUGAGACGUGGCGAAGCGUUCCUCUUCUGCGGGCCGUAACUCUCAUGGCCAUGCUGGAGACCCUGAUGUGUUUCACUUCACCUGGAUCUCUGCAGGAGCACAUCCAAGGACUCCACUUGCCCCCCAGCCAUAUGUUUCAGGACCAGAGGAGAAGGGAAAAUACGUACAGCUGCAGAGUAAGAAAACUGGGAAAAGUUCACAUAGCUGGACCACGGAAUUGGCUGACUGCACAGUCCUGAUCUAAAUCUUACAAGAGAAAGCUGCAGCCCUAACUGUGUGGUGAGGUUCUCGUAUGUCUAGUCCAAGAAAUUUGCAUAAAUGUACAAUUUCAUCCACAAACCAUUGUGAUUUGUAGUUUAUGUGAAUUUUAACAAGAUACAUUUUCAAGAUCCCGUGGGAUUUAUUUGUGGUCAUACUGGUAGCGAUGGUAAUAAAGAACCGGUUGAGCAAUCACAGU